UCUUCCUCCCCAGACCCAGCAUGCUGUGCGGUGGUUCCGGGUCAGGAGACCCAGCUGGAGAUCUGUAAAGGUCGAUCCGGACUCGGGCUCAGCAUAGUGGGAGGAAGAGACACACAACUGGACGCCAUAGUGAUCCAUGAGGUUUACGAAGAAGGAGCCGCAGCCAGAGACGGACGGCUGUGGUCCGGAGACCAGAUACUCGAGGUGAACGGCGUGGACCUUCGCGGGGCGUCCCACGAGGACGCCAUCGCCGCCCUGAGACACACGCCAGCGAAGGUGUGUCUGACGGUGCUGAGGGACGAGACGCAGUACCGGGACGAGGAGAACCUGGACGUGUUCAAGGUGGAGCUGCAGAAGAAGAGCGGCCGAGGGCUCGGACUCAGCAUCGUCGGGAAAAGG